rnacentral:miRNA from 1 species
UGUCGUCGUCGAUGGAGCCCAUG